rnacentral:rRNA from 1 species
UACGGGGGGGGCAAGCGUUGUUCGGAAUUACUGGGCGUAAAGGGCUCGUAGGCGGCCAACUAAGUCAGACGUGAAAUCCCUCGGCUUAACCGGGGAACUGCAUCUGAUACUGGAUGGCUUGAGUUCGGGAGAGGGAUGCGGAAUUCCAGGUGUAGCGGUGAAAUGCGUAGAUAUCUGGAGGAACACCGGUGGCGAAGGCGAGUCUCUGGACAUUUCCUGACGCUGAGGCACGAAAGCCAGGGGAGCAAACGGG